rnacentral:rRNA from 1 species
UGGGGAAUUUUGGACAAUGGGCGCAAGCCUGAUCCAGCAAUGCCGCGUGCAGGAUGAAGGCCUUCGGGUUGUAAACUGCUUUUGUACGGAACGAAAAAGCUCUCUCUAAUACAGGGGGUGAAUGACGGUACCGUAAGAAUAAGCACCGGCUAACUACGUGCCAGCAGCCGCGGUAAUACGUAGGGUGCAAGCGUUAAUCGGAAUUACUGGGCGUAAAGCGUGCGCAGGCGGUUUUGUAAGACAGAGGUGAAAUCCCCGGGCUCAACCUGGGAACUGCCUCUGUGACUGCAAAGCUGGAGUGCGGCAGAGGGGGAUGGAAUUCCGCGUGUAGCAGUGAAAUGCGUAGAUAUGCGGAGGAACACCGAUGGCGAAGGCAAUCCCCUGGGCCUGCACUGACGCUCAUGCACGAAAGCGUGGGGAGCAAACA